CUCGUAGGCGGUUCGUCGCGUCCGGUGUGAAAGUCCAUCGCUUAACGGUGGAUCUGCGCCGGGUACGGGCGGGCUGGAGUGCGGUAGGGGAGACUGGAAUUCCCGGUGUAACGGUGGAAUGUGUAGAUAUCGGGAAGAACACCAAUGGCGAAGGCAGGUCUCUGGGCCGUUACUGACGCUGAGGAGCGAAAGCGCGGGGAGCGAACA
rnacentral:rRNA from 1 species